rnacentral:tRNA from 1 species
GCACUCGUCGUCUAGCGGUAGGAUGCGGGCCUUCCAAGCCCGCGGCCCGGGUUCAAAUCCCGGCGAGUGCA